UCUUCCCUCUGGCGGCGUGCCUAAUACAUGCCAGUCGAGCGAACAGACGAGGAGCUUGCUCCUCUGACGUUAGCGGCGGACGGGUGAGUAACACGUGGAUAACCUACCUAUAAGACUGGGAUAACUUCGGGAAACCGGAGCUAAUACCGGAUAAUAUAUUGAACCGCAUGGUUCAAUAGUGAAAGACGGUUUUGCUGUCACUUAUAGAUGGAUCCGCGCCGCAUUAGCUAGUUGGUAAGGUAGCGGCUUACCAAGGCAACGAUGCGUAGCCGACCUGAGAGGGUGAUCGGCCACACUGGAACUGAGACACGGUCCAGACUCCUACGGGAGGCAGCAGUAGGGAAUCUUCCGCAAUGGGCGAAAGCCUGACGGAGCAACGCCGCGUGAGUGAUGAAGGUCUUCUGAUCGUAAAACUCUGUUAUUAGGGAAGAACAAAUGUGUAAGUAACUAUGCACGUCUUGACGGUACCUAAUCAGAAAGCCACGGCUAACUACGUG
rnacentral:rRNA from 1 species